UACGGAGGGUGCAAGCGUUAUCCGGAUUUACUGGGUUUAAAGGGUGCGUAGGUGGGUCUGUAAGUCAGUGGUGAAAUCUCCGAGCUUAACUCGGAAACUGCCAUUGAUACUAUAGGUCUUGAAUAUCCUGGAGGUGAGCGGAAUAUGUCAUGUAGCGGUGAAAUGCUUAGAUAUGACAUAGAACACCAAUUGCGAAGGCAGCUCACUACGGGGUCAUUGACACUGAGGCACGAAAGCGUGGGGAUCAAACAGG
rnacentral:rRNA from 1 species